AGUGUUUCCUAGUACACGAGGGCCAUGAGUCAGGUUGGCUUUAAUACCACACCACUGUUGAAGCUCUGUCAUCUUUGCCAAGAAAGGGUCCAUCAAAAUAAAAGCACCACAGGCAUAUAAUGGUCAAUUCCAAAAAUGGCUCAUGCUACGGUAUUUCUUAGUCCACGAGGGCCAUGAGUUAGUUUGGCUUUAAUACCAUUUGGAAUGACCCAAUGCCUCCCCUAGAAUGGGUAGCCAUAAAGCUUUUAUUUGGAGUCCUUUGCCUUGCUUAUGCAUGUUGUUGCAUAACAAGGAGGAUGGACCUUUUAAUUAGAUUAGUACUUCAAACUAAUAUGUAUUCAAUGCAAAACUCAUAAAUGUGCUAAUCUACACACAAGAAGUAAAAAAAGUGUCCACAUAAGUUCUAGACAUGGAGUUCACUUGGAAUUUGUCAAGAAUCUGAUAUAGCAUAACUAUGUGUGACUUGGUCGUGCUUAGUAGUUUGAAUAAUUGGGUGGGCUUCACAAACAUGCCAAUUCAAUGACUGUCAAUCUUAGCAUGCAUAGUCUACACACCGAGCACCUCAUUUUUGUUAGUUUCUGUGUGUUUUUUUCAUCAUUGCAUAGUCGUAAAGACAUCAUUAUAAAAUGUUGUCACUUCACAAAAAAGCUCGAAAAUUAGAACCCCAAAAUUAAAUUCUCCUCAGUAAUGUCUAUCAUAACACAGUUCUCAACAUUUAUGCUAGAUUGUGCAACACAAAUAAUUAUUUGGUGCUCUUCUGAGAUUCUACUUAAGAUUGAUUCAUGCCAUGGACAUAAUUAAGAAUAAUAACUCAGAUGAGGUGCAACCAAGCUGGGAUAAAUGUAGGAUUUUGGUAAUUCUUUAGUCACUAAAAGAAUGCUUCAGAAGCUUUCAAGAUUGGCUUGAUGAGCUGCAAUCAUGAGGAACAUAUACUGAGGCAAUAAAUGAAUUGAAAAGAGUAAAUAAACUCAGAUGGAUGAUAUAGGGCUGAUUGCAAGUGAGAAUAAUGUACAUAGAUUCAUAUCAGAAUCCAACAUGUUUUUGAUAAAUGACAGUCAAGCGUGUUAAGAUCUGAAAACAAUAAAAAUUUGCAGAAAGGAUUAUACAGGAUAAAGUGUCCAUCAUUCAUAAAGGGUGAUUGGGAGAGGAAGAAGGAAAUAAUUUUAUUUUGAAAAUUGCUUCGCCACACCACUCCAUUUCCCACUUCAGCCACUGCCAUGCAGUGAUUGGUGGGAUGCUACAUGGGACCCGCCUGUCACCCCAUGUACUGCACCCAUUCCCAACUGCCAUGGGAAACUAGUGCUCUCUGUGGGGAGUAGUGGUGCUGGGAGGCAACUCUUUUAUUUCUUAUCAAAGUGGUCUAAUAUUAAAGCGGUAAGUCGUUUCAAAAAUGCAAAUAACUCCGAUUAUAUAGACAUCGGACGUCUAUUGAGAUGAAAUGGCUGUGGCUAAUAUUACAGGACAAAAGUGCAGAGCCAGAUAAAAAGAAAAUUGGGGCAGCUUAAUGGACAGCCCUUCUUUCUUUUCAUUCUUUUGUUUUUCUUCUUUCCCUUUUUUCUCCUUUCAUUUCUUUUGCUUUAUGCUCUCUGUAUGUCUUUUGGUGGACUAUUUCUCCAUAUCUACCAAGUCUUCUAUGCAACUUCUCAUACUCACUAGCCUCUUAAGGCAUGGAAUGGAUCAGGGCAUCUCACCUUGGGAAUGACCCAACACAAGUAGCUAGCCUUUUAGCCACUGUGGUAUAAUUUUCUGCCAACAUAGAUUGAAUAACAGCCAUUUUUUUUAUUAAAAAAAAAAGACAAUGGUAACCUCUUUCUCUCUCUCUCUCUCCUUAUCUUUCUCAUGCAAAGCAAAUGCUUACAGCAAUUUUCACUCCUCUCUAGAAACCCUGAUUUAUAAGUCAUGAACUGGUGAGGUGCUUGAACAAGUACAGUUGGUAACAUCUUUGGUUGUUUGUGCCAGUGACCUUCACCCGCUUUUGGCUGGGCUUCAUCUAAUCCUAGUUCUCAAAAAAGAAAAGAGUCAUGAACUUGUAUCUCUAGCACUGGAAGUUGUAUACUAGAUUCAUGGUUCCCUCUUGAUUGACAUAAUCGCUACUUGGAAAGCUGUAAUUUGUUUCUCUGGGAUUCAAGUUAUAUGCUAGUUUCAUGAUUCUCAUCUAUAUAGCUAUGAAAAAACUAAUACUAUUAUCUAUCUAAACUACUACUUUUCUGAGCUUCAGAGUAUAAGUUAGUGAUAGUACUUUUAAUUUCUGUUUCAUGUUCUUGCAAUUAAAUCUGGACUAUAUGCUAUAUGCUUACUUUUGACUUGUGUAGUAUUGCUCUUCAUUUUUAAAGUGAGACUAGUCAUACUCGUCCCAUUAUGAAUCUGUGAAGGGUCACUAAGUUCAGCUUCUCUCUUCAGGGGCUGUGGAUUUGUUUCACUUGAGAAUCUAUUAUUUUAUGCCAGGACCUAUCCGGUAUGCAAAACUGCUUUCACUAGGCCUCUCAUAAAUCUUUUCUUAAUCUAAAAAAAAAAAAACCUAACUCUGUUUUAUGAGUGUUAAUGGUGGAAGUAAGACACUUCCCCAUAAAGAAACAUUUAAUUCAAAGUGAGAAAAUGCCAUGUUAUCGAUGUUUGCUGAUAUUUAUUGUAUUUUCAACAUAAAGGCUUCUUUUCAAAGGUUACUAUUCAAGCAAGAUGGAAUGCGAGCCACAUGGGAAUACCCCUUUGCUGUUGCCGGUGUUAAUGUUUCAUUCAUGUUGAUUCAGAUGCUGGAAUUGCAGUCAGGUCAGCAGAUAAGCAUGUAGUUUGCCAUUAGAAAUGAUGGUGUUUACUGUUUAGAUUACCAUGAGGUUGAUCCCGCACAAUAUAAUGAUCCCACCUUUCAAAAAUAUCAUGUUGAAACUAGAGUGAAUAAACAUUCCAUUGUCCAACAGAUUACAAGAAAAUUGCCAUCCACUCUUUAGCUAAAGCUUUUAAAGCUAAAUUAAAUAUUCUAAAAGAGUGCGUCUCACUCUCAAAGCAGAAUGGUUAUUCGUAUGUCCCAUUUUCAAAAAAAAUAAAUAGAUAAAUAAAUAAAAUCUGGUACAAUUCCCAGAGGCGGAAGCCUCAUGGCAUACUUUCUAUCACCUCUCCUUAAGUUGUAAGCUUGCUACACCACAAGGUUAGCUGUUUAAUACCAUGGUAGGACACUCCAUUUUCUGAAAGCUAGCCAUGUCUUGUCAUGUCCAAGUCUCCAGGAAUGUCAGUACUCUAUAAUUCCUAAAAAACUAAAUUUCUGUGCCACAGAUCACUGGAGUCCACUGCAGCAAACUUAAUUGGUAGUACCAAGGUUUUAAAUUUCGUGGUUUGUGGUGGUUCUAUUUUUUCCAUGGUAGGAUGUGCCACUGUUCUGCUCUAUUCCGACACUUGGAAUAGUGAAUGUCCAAGACGUGCCGAUUAGGAUGCUAUGACAAUAGCGGGACUGAUGCCAGACAGCAGGGAAGGGAAAGGAGAAAGAGAGGAGGGAGGAGGGAGGAGGGAAGGAGAACUAGGCUUCAUGCCUAGCCCUAGCUCAUGGUUUCACACCAAGGCUAAAGAAAGGGAACCAGAUGAUGGUGUGUGUGCAGAGGGCUAAGCAUGAAUUUCAGAAAAUUUUAUGCGGAAAGAACGAGUUAAACAUUUUAACCCAAAACAUGCUUGAUAUUUUAAAUAUUUUGACUCUGGUACCAGUCGAAGACAAUCUUCAACUGCACAUCACAUGUGGCACGGGCUCAGUCCCAAUACAUAGGGUGACACCCGCGCGUGCCUAUCAAAGCACUCAUCACAUAAGCCCCCGGGUGGAGAGCUAUGCUUCGUCACACGAUCACGCGUGAGAGUUUCCGAAAAUCGGAUAGUCUCCACUAAUCCUUUGCUUUGACACCAAAUAUCACAAAGCCCUCAGAUCCCGAGGAUUGUGUGAUUCAAAUAAAUAUGUAUAAAUCACAACUUCUUGUGAUUUGAAGAUUGAGAUCAUAUCUCAACCGUAAAAGAGAUCAGAUCUCUUACCUUUAGAAGGAGGUUCCUUCAAGGAUGCUUCGCAGCCGCACAAGCGUCCGGCCUCAAUGACUCGUCCACGCGAAGCUCCGGAAUGAUCAACUUUUCGGGGAGUGCUAGCUUGCAGGGAGGCAGAAGGUUGGCUGAAAGGGAGAAGAAGGAAGAAGAUGGACCUUCAUAGCACAAGAACUCCUUGGGCUUUCACCUUUAGAGCUUCUCUCCUCUCACUCUCCUUCUCUGGUGC
rnacentral:lncRNA from 1 species